ensembl:lncRNA
GUUUUCAAUACAAACUGUUCGCUAUUGUUUGCCAGUAUAAUUUUUUUCAGUCUAGCUGGAAGUAUCCAGAUGUAACUGGAUUGUGAUGAUACAGGGUACCUACCAUGUGCAAUCACAAAAUGAAAGAGCAACAAAGUCCCAAGGAGAUUCCACCCUAACGAAGAAAACUAAAUCUGUUUAAUUCCAUUAUAGAGCUUUAAUUGCUGAGCACAAUACCAUAUGGCAUGGGGCAUUGCUUUGGCCAGUCUGAGUCAGCUGUCUCAUUUCUGACCCCUCCCAGCUACUUGUGCCCCCCAGCUCCUUGCUGGCAGGGCAACGUGAGGAACAGGAAAGUUCUUGGCUCUAGGUAAGCACUGCUCUGCAAUAAUUAAACCAUUGGUGUGUCAUCAGCUUUGUUUGGGUCACAAAUCCAAAAUGGCACUAUACUAGGUACCAUGAAAAAAAUUAACACUAUCACAGAUGAAACCUGUUUGUACACUAAGGAAGAUGACAUUGACAAAACUUUAAGCUAAAUACAAGGUGUCUCUUUUCAAUCUUCUGCAAAUGUUGGUUAAAGAAUGCAAAGCCAUGCAGUCAAUAGAAGAGAUCAAAAGCCUGGGCAGAAUUAUUGGUUUUAUUGGAAAUUCGUUAUCAAGCCAUUGAAGAGGAAACUCCUGACACUUGGCUUCUCACUUCUCCCAUUCAUAGUGAUAGAGUAGAAGCUCGCAUCUGGAAGAGCCAUUUGUUAUGUUUUGGCAAUCCUGUAGAAAACUGGAAAAAGUGGAUCACGUUUCAAAACCAUGAAAACUGUUAUGUUUUCCUGCCUCUGUUCUGGGAUGUAUUUCAAACAUUAUUUCAGUGAUAGACUGAAGGAUACAUGCUCCUGUUGUUACAAACACCACUUGAUUUGCAGAAUAACGAUACAUCUCAAAUUCAUUUUUCAUGUUAUUUUCAAUGCAGCACUGAGCAAGGACUUCACAUCUUGUGGAGCAACUGCUGCUAAGUAGUGAAAGAAACAUCAACAGCCAUUAACCAAUGAG